rnacentral:tRNA from 1 species
GCACAGGUGGCACAAUGGUACUGCGCUCGCCUGCAGAGCGAGAUUCCGGGGGUUCGAUUCCCCCCCUGUGCU